AUGAGGCCAGAACAGAAGAAAGCUAGAAUAGAACAAAUUAGAGCUAACCGUGAGUUGAACCGCUCCAAAUAUUCAAUUGCGAUGAAGAACCCUGCAUAUAUCGCAACCGAACAGGAAGUUAGUACUUCUACGUUUCCUGUAAAACACAGAAAGCAUGUGACGCCAGGAAAAAGGCAAACAUCGCUACACUAUUGUAAUGAAGAAUUCACGACAAGACAGAUGAAAAUGGUUUCUGUAACAUCACAAGAAGACGGAUCCAUGCCGGCAACCAGCAAAGAUGACAUAGGACCUCUAGAGGAGUCAGAAGUCAUGAUUUACGGUAAUACUCUUAAUUUUAUAUAA
rnacentral:rRNA from 1 species